rnacentral:rRNA from 1 species
AUUGAACGCUGGCGGCAGGCCUAACACAUGCAAGUCGAACGAGUGGCGGACGGGUGAGUAAUGUCUGGGCAACUGCCUGAUGGAGGGGGCUAACUACUGGAAACGGUAGCUACUACCGCAUACCAUCAGAUGUGCCCAGAUGGGUUUAGCUUGUUGGUGGGGUAACGGCUCACCAAGGCGACGAUCCCUAGCUGGUCUGAGAGGAUGACCAGCCACACUGGAACUGAGACACGGUCCAGACUCCUACGGGAGGCAGCAGUGGGGAAUAUUGCACAAUGGGCGCAAGCCUGAUGCAGCCAUGCCGCGUGUAUGAAGAAGGCCUUCGGGUUGUAAAGCACUGUCAGCGGGGAGGCGUUACCCGCAGAAGAAGCCACGGCUAACUCCGUGCCAGCAGCCGCGGUAAUUC